CAAGAAGACAUUCAUAACUGGUUCCAUGGUACAGUUUGAUGAUGGAUGAUCCUUGAGAUGAAAUCCAAACUCCUAAUCCAGAGUUUACCAUGUUCAGAACAAUCUUUUCCGGAUCGCUGUUGACUUGGAAUGAUUUCUGUGAAUGGUCAAUUUGAAGACGCCAUAGGUGGUUGAUUGAACCAAAAAGAAACCUACCUCGACUUCCAUGGUCGAAGUCGCGAUGACUUUGAUUUGAUUAGCAGCCGAGCACCAAAGUUUACCAGCAACCUGUAAAAGCUUAUAAAUGGGACCGCUGUCUAUGGUAAAUAGCUUAUAAUCCGCUGUUGACCAAGUACCAUUUGAGUCUGGUUGGAAGACAACAAUCUGGCCGUUAGAUAAACCUGAAUAAACGUUUUUUUCCAUGUAUCUAGAAUCAAGAGAAUGGAGAAGAAAAAUAAAUGAAUAAAUAAUGGAUAUGAUGAAAUGAUCAGGAGAUAUGAAAUUAGCGUUAGUAAUGAAACGGAAUCACAAGGACUAAAAGUGAAGGAAGACAAGUUAGGUUUUGAAACAGAGUUGGCCCUACAAAUGAGACUUUCAUCUUGAGAUUCAAAUUAUAUGGAAAGAAUUGUGAUUGUCUAUGAAUUGUACGCUUAAGGAUGGUUACCGUGAAUGAUGAUGCUGGUAGUUUGAACAAAUAUAAAUGCUAAUGGAAAAGAUUUAUUGAUUAUUCUAUUGUUGUGUAAACUAUCAGCUUGACCCAUAACCAAUGAAUUGAUAAAAGGGAUAUUAAAUUUAAUAAUAAUGAUGCUGCUGAUGGAUAUGAGUCAAUGAAGAAGAUACAAAGAAAGUCACCAAGGUGGUCCAUACAAUUACUAAAACAAACAUGGUGGUUAACAUGAUUUUAUAUAUUCAACUAUCUCAUCUCAUUUAAAUCUGUAUCAUUGCUUAUUAAAAUGAGGCUAACCAGAUAAAUCCAUUAGGUUUUGGUGAAAAUUGUCUCAACAAUCAAGAUGAAACAUGCAACAAUUUUACCAUCUUCCGUUGGUUCCCUAUUUCUCAAUCGGAUUGCUACCAGUUUAACCUAAUUCUUAGCUCCAGUUAAUCACAUGCAAGUCAUCUACUGAUUUCCAAUCAUCAUAAAGCUCAAAGAAGGUGAAAUAUAAAGGCAAAUGUGAGAACGCUAAUCACCAUUAGUGACCAACUAAGAAUUCCCUGGCUAUUAUUGUUAAUUCAGUUGAUUUAUUCAUCAAACUCAUCAUCAAGCUAAAAACAUCAUCACACAAAAAGUCUAUGAAUGAUAAAUCUACAUGAAAAAGCCGAUGGAUGUAAUUAAUUCAGUGAAAAAAAAGGUUCAUAAGAUUAUUAGUUAAUAGUCUGUAUUAU